GGAAUACUCGUUACAUCACAUCUAAUCUACUUAACAUGGAAUCAUUUUAAUCAGGCCUGAUGCAAAGUCUAAAAGAACAAAAACCACAACAGCAAUUAUGAUGGUAACAACAAAAUGCUUUUACUUGAAUGGAAAGGCAUGAAAAAAAAUAUAAACAUUAGAAAACAUUUGUGAAAUUCUUGCAGCCAGAACCUGAAAACUGUUCAAGCAUUCUUUAAAAGAUCUUUUCCUUUUUUUGCCAUAUAAAAUGUAAAAUUAAAUUAAAAAAAUGCGUGACAAUAAGUCCAGAAUGCAAACACUUUAUAUUGAGAACACACAAAAGAAAGAUAGAAGUGUUCAGGCAUCAUACACAAGCAUAAGGAAAUAUUAUAUGGAGUCAUGGGGUUAAAUGCUCAAACCCUUCCCCUAAAACAAAAAAGCAAACACUUUUAAGUACUAAUAAACUGAUAACAUACUAAAGAAGGAUAAAGAGUGGCUCUACUCUAAUCACUAUAGGUAGCAAUUUUGUCCAUGAUAUUUCCUAAGACCUUCUUGGACUCUCCAAGCAACUUGAUGCUUAUGUUCAGCUUCUCGCGUUUAGCAGCAACUGAGGGCGAUUCUUCCAGCAUUCUUUCUAUUGCACCUCCAUGAUUACUAAUCAACUCGCUAAUGAUCUCCUUUUCCAUCUCCUUGUUCACAAGAUUUUGAACACUGAACUGCAAAUGCAGAGCCAUAGAAUCAACCAAUCUCCUCAAUACAAUCUUCCAGUAAGCAGUCAUUCUCAUCUUCAAGUCAAAAGCUUGGUGCAGAACAUUCUGAUAUGCUCUGAUAUCCCCAACUUCAACCACUCCAAUACCUUCAAUCUCUGCGCUAGAAUACCCUUGUGUCAGGGUUGUAUACCUGAAUGUAUCCUGUUUCUCCAUGAGCUUGUUCCAUUCACUCAUGUAGUCAGGAUUGCAAGUGUAAUCUGUCAUCUUCUCCAUUUGAACCAUUUCUGUAACCCAACUGAUAGACUGCUCUUUCAUUUUGGAUAUAAGG
rnacentral:misc_RNA from 1 species